GAAACCAACAGGGAUUGCCUCAGUAACGGCGAGUGAAGCGGCAACAGCUCAAAUUUGAAAUCUGGCUCUUUCAGAGUCCGAGUUGUAAUUUGCAGAGGAUGCUUCGGGUUCGGCUCCGGUCUAAGUUCCUUGGAACAGGACGUCAUAGAGGGUGAGAAUCCCGUAUGUGACUGGUCGCCACGCCCGUGUGAAGCUCCUUCGACGAGUCGAGUUGUUUGGGAAUGCAGCUCAAAAUGGGUGGUAAAUUUCAUCUAAAGCUAAAUAUUGGCCAGAGACCGAUAGCGCACAAGUAGAGUGAUCGAAAGAUGAAAAGCACUUUGGAAAGAGAGUCAAACAGUACGUGAAAUUGUUGAAAGGGAAGCGCUUGCAACCAGACUUGCCCGCGGGUGAUCAGCCGGUAUUCUUACCGGUGCACUCGCCCGUGGUCAGGCCAGCAUCGGUUUGGGCGGCUGGAUAAAGUCCACCGGAAUGUAGCUCCUCUCGGGGAGUGUUAUAGCCGGAGGUGCCAUGCAGCCCGCCCGGACCGAGGACCGCGC
rnacentral:rRNA from 1 species